rnacentral:tRNA from 1 species
GGGGCUGUAGCUCAGUGGUAGAGCACUUGCCUUGCAAGUAUGAGACACUGGGUUUGAUCCUUAGCCCUA